rnacentral:rRNA from 1 species
AAGGAUCAUUACUGAAAAACUAUUUUAAGUUUUUUAUAUCCCAUUGUUUACUUACCCUGUUGCUUUCACUGGACAGAUUUCACCUUGUGUGGGUCCUUUGGCUUGUGUGAAAUACCACUUGCCAAAGAGUUGCCAGUGGUAAGACCUAUUUAUCAAAACUUGAGUUUCAAUAAACACAACUGUCUGAAUAUUUUUUUUCUUUAAUGAAAUAAAACUUUCAACAACGGAUCUCUAGGCUCUUGCAUCGAUGAAGAACGCAGUGAAAUGCGAUAAGUAAUGUGAAUUGCAGAAUCUCGUGAAUCAUUGAAUCUUUGAACGCACAUUGCGCCCUAUGGUAUUCCAUUGGGCAUGCCUGUCUGAGCGUCAGCUCCCCCUCCACUCAAGAAUUAUUUUAUAUGAUACUUGGAUUACUUUGGAGAUGUAACUGUAUAUUAAGUUGCCCUCCAGAAAUUCAUUGGCAGUAUGGUUUGUACUUGGACCAGACGUAAUAGUAAUAAAAUCGUUUGUUUGGGUAUAAUUGAAUUGUACUUGCCUUAACCCCCACCCAUUUUUAUUUUGGGUGACCUCAGAUCAGGUAGGGAUACCCGCUGAACUUAAG